rnacentral:rRNA from 1 species
GACGAACGCUGGCGGCGUGCUUAACACAUGCAAGUCGUACGGUAAGGCCCUUUCGGGGGUACACGAGUGGCGAACGGGUGAGUAACACGUGAGUAACCUGCCCACAACUUUGGGAUAACGCUAGGAAACUGGUGCUAAUACUGGAUAUGUGCCCCUGCUGCAUGGUGGGGGUUGGAAAGCUCCGGCGGUUGUGGAUGGACUCGCGGCCUAUCAGCUUGUUGGUGGGGUAGUGGCCUACCAAGGCGGCGACGGGUAGCCGGCCUGAGAGGGUGACCGGCCACAUUGGGACUGAGAUACGGCCCAGACUCCUACGGGAGGCAGCAGUGGGGAAUAUUGCACAAUGGGCGCAAGCCUGAUGCAGCAACGCCGCGUGCGGGAUGACGGCCUUCGGGUUGUAAACCGCUUUCAGCAGGGACGAAGCUUUUUGUGACGGUACCUGCAGAAGAAGCACCGGCUAACUACGCG